AGCAGCCGCGGUAAUUCCAGCUCCAAUAGCGUAUAUUAAAGUUGUUGCAGUUAAAAAGCUCGUAGUUGAAUUUCGGGAUUAAUAUGUCGGUCGUACUUUGUACGUACUAGCAUUAUUGGUUUCUCCCUUCUGACGAACCACGAUGUCAUUAAUUUGGUGUCAUGGGAAAUCAGGACUGUUACUUUGAAAAAAUUAGAGUGUUUAAAGCAAGCUCGCGCUUGAAUACAUUAGCAUGGAAUAAUGAAAUAGGACGUUUGAUUCUAUUUUGUUGGUUUCUAGGAUCGACGUAAUGAUUAAUAGGGAUAGUUGGGGGCAUUAGUAUUCAAUUGUCAGAGGUGAAAUUCUUGGAUUUAUUGAAGACUAACUACUGCGAAAGCAUUUGCCAAGGAUGUUUUCAUUAAUCAAGAACGAAAGUUAGGGAUCGAAGACGAUCAGAUACCGUCGUAGUCUUAACCAUAAACUAUGACCGACUAGGGAUCGGAUGAUGUUAAUUUUUAAUGUACUCAUUCGGCGCCUUACG
rnacentral:rRNA from 1 species